ACUGGGGAUAUAAGGAAGAGAAUAGGAUUAGUUAUAUGUAUUAGUAAGGGAAAAAGGGAUAAAUAGGAGUGAAAAGAUUAGAAAACGUGGAUUGGGUUAUGAAAAUCGUGGAGCGUGGACGGAGUCACGUCGAGAUCCGAAAUUGUGUGAAUAAAACAAACAGUUUGAAUUUGAACCGGCAAGGAAUACAGCCACUAGAACCGGGCCGGAAGAUUUCCUGGAGAGGAACACUGGAGUCCGAGAAAGUCGACUGCAGGGAAGAAGACGAUACAACGGGACCUGAGUGAGUUCGUUCCAGUUGCGCGUGUGUGAGCCAAGUAGCGCGGGACGUGUGAAGGGAGGGGGUGAAAGAGGUCGAGUGAGCGGCCAGGGCGAUUCUAGCCACACCGCACGAUCGUUGCAUCGCCGUCCAGUGCGUGCCACACGUUUGGGCUCUUUUACAAAGGGAAAACCUCGAAAUCCUAUUCACACACACACACACACACACGCGCACACGUAUACACGAACCUAGAUAAAUUUAGGGCUGACCGGCCACGGCCAGCGAUCAGCGAGCCCACGUUAUUGAACUUAAAGAAAAACAAAUAAUCCGCACUCCAAACACCGUUCCACUGUAAAUGUUAUUUUGUUCC